AAACUUUAUUCGAAGUAAACAAAUUUAAGUGAUAACAUGUAAUCAAAGACUCAAUUCAUUUCUAAUUGGUAAAUUAAAAAUCAUACCACCAUCCUGCAGUAAAAUCCAUGGUACAGAGGAGUAUUCGUUUUGGCAAUAUGCGAGGGUGGAAUAAAUAUAUAUGCACCCAUGUCCGUUCUGGGAAUGGAGAUAUUAAUUCUAAGCUGCAUGUAGAGAUAGUCAAUACCUAUGUGUGGGUCCUUUCUAGGUUGCUUUGAAUGUAUAAGUUCUCUUGACCAAACCAACAAACCAUUUCCUGUGAUACUUUAAAUAAGACGGUUGAAUAGAUCACAAUAUAUCAUAGUUAUUGCAAUGAUUGUAGAAUGACAAAUGAUGUAUCAGAUACCUUUCUUCGACGAUCAAAUUAGCAUAUUUGUUUUCACAAUAAUCCAUGGAAAAAGGCAAAAUUCCUUUUGCACGUUCUAACCAAAACAUAUAGUGCAUGUGUCAACACAAAAUCGUUAAUAUACUGUGAGUUAUAACAUUGAUGUAAGAU
rnacentral:lncRNA from 1 species